CCAGCAUUGAUUAUUUUCAUUUCCUAUUGUAGUGAAGUGGAAGAAUUCUGUCGGUCAAUUGAAAAGAAAAUGAAGAGGGAAGGAAACCUCUGAAUGGUAUGUAGAGCUGUUACAUACUUCACAAUCUGGGCUUUAAAUAUCUAAGUCAAAUGUCAAACAUUUUAUUUCUAUCAUGUAUCUUUCUUUCAGGACUCAUCCAUCCUGAUAAUUCACAUGAGGCUGCACAAGUCCUGCAACAAAAUCCUCAAUUUGUUAAUAAAAAAAUAUGUUUACUACAAGAUGUGUUGUUUGUUUCUGAAGUGAUUAUGGUAUGUUUUUGACCAAUUUUACAAGGUUUAGCAUGUUUCUAUGAUAUUAGGAUAACAUCAUGACUCCAUUCAAUGCUAUAGAAAGAUAAUUAACUACUCUAAUAAUGAGAGAAAAGAACUUGCCCCCAUCAAGGGACUUCAAACCUGCAUUCCAUAUGAAUUUAGACUCUUGUGAUGGUUGUCUCCCAUUUCCUGAUGCUGCCUUUCAGACAUGGCUCCAUCUUCCUCCUGUUUCUCCCAACAACCACUCAAGUCACAAAGAACUGCUCU
rnacentral:lncRNA from 1 species